AACGCCGCGCCCCGCCCUCCCGUGCCCGCCCCGCCCCGCCCCGCCCCGCCCCGCGCGGGUCCUGCCGCGCCGCGCGCUGCGAGAGGCGCGCGGUUCGUUAGCGGUGCUGCCGGUGCGCUGCCAGGGGCGGUGCGGAAGUGCGGUCACUCAGCCGCGCCCGAAGCGGGAGAAAGCGCCCCGCCGCCGUUUUACCUCACGGCGCCCGCGCUUCGAGCGCGGCCGCGCUGUAAGCAGCGACGCCGCCUGUCGGUGCCGCCUCCGACGGGGGCGUACGAUGAAUAUCGGCGGCGAUAACGCCCCGUUUCCUGACACGGGUGACCUGAGAAACGUAAUUAUAAUCGACGGAACAAAUCAAGAUUGUGCGAAGCUCGCGCAGCUGCGGAGCGGUGCCGUUACCACCGCCGCCGGGUUCGGCUGUUACUCCCGUGCGGGAGCGCUCAGCCUUACUUCAUGACGGACGCGGCAGCGGGAUGGCGCAUCCGCGUUUGUCUGAAACGCGAACGUGGGGUCUGUCUGGAGAACAGAAACGGUUUAAAGAAAGACCCCCAGAGUUUAGCUAACGGUGCUUAAAGAGAACCCAUCAGAGGGGCUCGGGGGCCGGAGCGGGUUCCUCCGCGCUGAGGAGCGCAGCCGCAUCCUCGCCGGGCAGAGGUUCCAUCGUCCCAAGCCGCCCCAAGCCGGCCGCAGAACUUGCUUCGAAAAGCCUCUCCGCAGCUCCUAGCUGUGCCGUAUGGGUGAAAACCGGCCCCAGCUCAGGGAUUUCUCACAAGGCUACUCCUAGCGAGCUCCUUCUGCACGGGCAAAGCGGGGUAACAGGGAGCAGAGGGCAAAACAUCGCUGUCUGAGCUUGCUGCCGUCGGUGGCUCCUUCCUCCCCCUCCGGUCCCUCCCUGGACACACCCUCUCUGGUGAAGCUCCUGCCCGCUCUGAGCCGGGACGGUGCUUCCAGGUGCUCGGUUAGGGGGUAGACGUGGGUCAAAGCGAUCCACCUUCUGAAGGACUCAGAGCUCGGCCCUGACUUCAGCCCGGGAAACUCCUGGAAAAUCGAGAAGAGAGGAAUUCUUCAUCCCGCUGGGCACAAAGAGCCACAGAAUCCUUCCCCCAUAGCGAAUGAAUGGCAGCUCUGGCGGUCUGAGCACAGCACCUCAUGUGCUCUUCACCCAGACCCACACGGUUCCUCCGUGAGCCUUCAGACACGUCAGCCCCACUGCAGAGCCGAGGAGGCAAUGUCUGCACCACCGUCCAGCACUGCGCGGCUUCGGAGGAGAAAAAUGUUCCCUGCAUUACUCAUCUGAGCUGGCCAGACUCCUAAAACUGCCCCAAACAUCUGAAAGAGCUUUCUCAUGCUGGUCAGAGGGCGUGGGUUUCUGGCAACCCGUGUUGCUGCGCCUCUCAUCGCCCAUCACCCUGCACAUCCUUGGCCUCAGCCACCACCACAGACAGAGGAGGUGUGCCUGAGCUCCGACAGCUCAUCUUAACCGUGGCCUGCAGCCACUCAUCCCCGCAGGCACUAUGAACAGCUCAGACAAACUGUGUCCCCAGGAGCACCUCUGUCCUUAAUUUAUUCUGCUGCCCGGUCAGAAGCAGCACAGGGGACGGAUGAUUCCUGCGUUUAGCAGAAGAUGUGCUGCCCAGCAUGGCACACAUGCCAACGAAGGACAGAAAUGCCUCCUGGCCUCUGGUUGCUGGCCGAUGUCCAAGCAGCAUGGUGGCAGAUGGCAACGACCCAGGGCAGAGCGGAGGCAAAGAGCACACAGUUAGCUGGGAACUGGGAUUUGAACUGCUUUGUAUUAAACCGUACUGGUAAACAUUCUUUUAAGUGCUGUUUAAGGACACCGUGACCUCAGUUAUCUUCAUGAACCUUUUCGUUAAUGAAAAUGAGAGCGGAGGAAUUCUCAAUAAGAAGUAAUUAACUGUUCUACAGCGCACUUGUGCUUAUCAAGAGAAACAUCUGCUGAAGGCUAACCUUGGCCACAGCAUCUCCUCUGGCAGUCUGAAGGAGCCCGGCAAGUCUUCAAAGAGGGUGACCGGGGACUCGGGAUACCGCCUGGGGAGGAGGUGCUGUUAACCCUCUCAGAGCCAGGUAACCCAUCUGCUCACCACUGCAGGAGCUGCACAGCCGCAGGGCUGGGCACAGCCUCAGAGAGGACAGCGGUGUUACCUUCACCACCAUUCCUCAAGGCUGCUUUAGCGGAGUCAGGGCAGAAGGAGGCACGGGAAAGCACCACAGAGUCAUAUGCACGUAGUGAGGUCUCCACCGUGUAGAAGGAAUAAAUAUUUAAGUAGAAAUAGUUGUGUAUUAAUCCAGAUGAUUAAACGAGAAGCUCCACUAACAAUUGGCCUGACCAGCUUUACGAGUGACCCGAGUUUUCGUUCUCUCUUCUACUGUUCCCAUCAUCUUUUCUCAUCCCUGGCCACGUGCUUCUCUUACUUGCUGUAUUUGAAUCUGAAUUUUUUCUAGGACAGGGAUUUAUUUCCCACCUUGAUGGUAAAGCACGUAGCUCUUUUAUUGUGCUCAGAAUCAAUUAGCAAUGAAAUCCUUUUAUUACAAUCUGAUGACAAUUUGCUCUCCUUUAUUGGCAGCACAUCACAGCUCUGACUGUGACCUGAACAGCAAUUUAAUCCUCAUAGAAAUUCUAAGCUUUUAAGGCUCAAUAUAGCUAUCAGGUUGGUGUUCAUAACAGCCCUUUUAGCUGCAGAGCAGAAGCAGCUUGCAGUGCUCAUCUGGCAAAGUGAUGAAGUUCCAGCCUCUCGCUACAGAGGAAUUCCAGACAAAAACACUGCAGUCUGGGAAGUAACCCAUGAAAAAUAUCCUACCCAGUUUCUCACGCAUCCCAUAAGAGAGGCUUCUACCAGGCGCAGCAAGCUGGGUUCAAGUCGAGUGCACUGAAAUACGCUUAGUUUUCCUUAGAGCCACAGCAACGUACUUGGUUUUGAAGCUCCGUCACUGGAAAUAACCUGGACAAUUAACAGAAAACUUUUCAAAACAUUUCAGUCCUGGCACCGAGCGUGAGAAAGCCCAGGCUGAGGGGAGGCCAAGAAUGGGAGCCGUGGACCUGGCGGCCCAAGAGGCACCGCAGCGCACCAGACUGCCUCCAUGCCCAGCCAAGGAGCAGACCAUGUCCAGGGGGGAACUGGGAAUGAAAAAGCCAAGAAAAAUGUCGGAACCCAAAGGACAUGAGGAGCAAUUGCCCAUCAUGUUAGACUGGAAAAAAGAGCAGAGAAAUCCUAGGUGCUUGUGCUUUCCAGCUCUCUGAGCUGCCAGGCAGAAGGAUUUGCAGAUGGCACCAGCACUGUGGCCGCUCACAGGGCAAUGCACGGUUGUCAGUAUGGCAUUGUAUCUGACUUGAGACUAAAGACCACAACCUGAAUCUGGCAGUAUCCCUUUCCAUCCCCUUAAGUAAAUUGAGAACUAUUGAGAACUGUUGGUGGUGGGUGAAUGGUUGGACUGAGUGAUCCUGUGGGUCUUUUCCAACCGUAGUGAUUCCGUGAUUCUAUGAUUCUAUGAAAUAGUGAUGUAAGUUGUCCUGACCUUCCAUACACACGCCACUAUCUCCUUCUGGAGCUCCCACAGAAACCAACUCAGUGUCAUCACCUCUACUCAGUGUCUCCACACUGCCGGCCCUUUCUGAGUCCUGGGGCAGGCAGAUGGGGCUCCCUGAGUUUCAGAUCAGGUCCUGCAGAGCAAAGAGAGAUCUGGGGGUGAAAACCUGAGGGCAGAAGUUUCCUCUGAAGCUCUCCAAGCGCUGGUGUCUGAGGAGACAGCGCCACCGAGAGCGCACCUGACAUUAGAGAGUGUCUAUUACAAAACAUCCCAAAGGGCUGCUAGAAGUAGUAGUAUUUCUACCUGUUAUUCCCUAUGGGAUCUGUUAGAGGACCCGCAGUCUAUAACCUUUCUGCAUCUGCUGGCAGCAGAAAGAAACUCUGCAUUUAAGAAAAAAAAUGACCCCUUGUUUUUCUGGUAAUUACCUCCUGUACCUGAGCGUGAGGGUUGGCAACAGGGAGCUGCCACUGCGGGAGCACAGCAGCCAGAAAUAGAGUGAGAAAUGGGAGAACUGCUAAAGCCACCACAUGCAGAAGUGAUACUAUUUCAUCUGAGAUCCUGCGUGCCUGCAGAGACGCUCAGCACAUCAGGGCAGCUUCUCAGAUGCAGAGAUACAUCAUCACUCGUGCAAAUGCGUUUCACGCACUCAGAUCCGUUUUUCAGGCUAAUUGGAGCUUCCAGCAGAUACCGACCGCAUCUCCUGCUGCUGGCUGAGGACAAGGAGACCUCUCCCGCAGGAGCUCAGAACCAGCACCAGCCUGACCGUUUCUGCUUGAAGGUCACAGCGAGAUUAAAGGAAUGUGCCAUCUCCAGCAAAUAUGUAUAAUGGCUUGUGCGUGCAAUUCCUCUGCAAACGUGCCCACUGCAAUGCACUCUUCUCCGCAGAAAGAAGAUGAAAGAUGUUGUAUGUGACAGUCAUAAUCGCACUGCUUAAUGCAACACUAAAGAACACUUCUAUGUUAUUUCAUCGCAGUGAAGCCCACGCAGACAAAAGCAGCCAUAUCAGUAGCCCCCAGUCCUGGGUUUCACAGCUCCAUGCAGAGCUUUGUGCAGCCUCAGCCUCUCAGGAAGCACACUGCCAUCCAUCAGCCUGACACCAACCUUUAACGCUCCAUAGCUUUGCUCUUACUGCUUCAAGCUCAGACUCCACUGUCACAGCACCUCAGCCACACACCGAGCUCUCGUGCACCACGUCUUUGCCUGGCAGCCCCAAUCCCAUUCCUCUGUAGAUGGGAGGAGCUCACCCAUACCCAGCAUCUCUGUGCAGGGACACAUGGCUGCAGGGAGCUACGACUGCCUGAAAGGAGCACCUGUCUGGAGGAGCAAAGCUUGGUGUUAAGACGCAGGGCGAGGAGCGAAGGGGAAGAGCGCACGCCAAGGUCACAUCUGCAGCAGCAGCGACGGCAGCUGCACAGCAGCGAUAUUAAACCUCCCUCUGGUGUAGGAUACACACACAGACACUUCUUAAGAGCAACAACGAUCCACAUGAAUUGGAGCAGUCCCCAGAGGAGAGCUGCGUGGCUGGCGUGGCAGGGGGUGACUGAAGGGCACACAGUGAGGGUGGGAGCAGCGUGCCCGGCUGUAGAUGAGAGAUUCUCAGCUUUAUCACCCCCAAGUUUGGCAGUGAUUUGCAACUGGGGAGACGCUCAGCUCACCGCUUGCAAGGAAGCAGUGUGACCUGUGCCAAGAAGCAACGAGCAUCAGAAGGUGGAUAUUUCAAGUGAGCGGAACGAAGAUUAUCUACUUUUGUUGCUGCUUUUAAAGCAUAGUAGGAGGCAUCAGCUCUCCCACCUCUCUACUGGUACUCACUGUACCUCCUGGCUUCUCUGUCCAAAGCUGCUGGGGGCAAUGGCACCUUCCAGCAACUCCCUGCGAGCUGGAAACCUCCAGAGAAGCGGAGCAGAGCUGGAACACAAGGAGAUAACGGAGCUCGAGCCCAUUCAAAGCUGCCCGGGUGUCUGUGAGGGUGUAAUGCUCAGCACCAUCUAGUGGUCGUCACCUGCGGCUAUUCGCUCACACAACGCCACAAACGGGGCCUGUUUGAUUUACAGCACUUUUCUUCCCCAUAGCCAAUCUGUCAAGAGACGUGCAGCCCGCUCUGGCGUUUCGCAGGGCUCUGUAAGGACUGCUCAAGUUCUAAUCUCAUUGCUUGGGCUGACUUUCCUCCUCGCGAGGAGGAGAUGUUUUUCCUAAGGGAGAAUAUCCGUAAAAUAGGGGCAGUCUUUUAAGAUAUCAGCAGAGCUAUUUGAGAUACGCGGCUGAACGACAUCCAGUAUUGGUGCCAUUUAUCACAGCGGAGCCAGAGGGGGAGAAAGAGAAUGUAAUGCUGUAAAACAUAUGGAAAACAUUAUCCAAAUAGCACAAAUACGACAUAAAGCCACACACGCAAACAGGGCUUGGAUUUGGGCUCCCCAUAGCCCCUGCUAGACAAGUAAGGAUAAUGAGUUUUUAUUCACAAUGCAUUUAAAGGAGGCCCCACUCUCAUCUUCUCAGCCUGCCAUCAGCACUGCCUCUCUGCUUUUAUUUACAGCUGAACCUCCUGGGUGGAAUCGGAGAACAGAGGAAAAGGGGAGAGCAAGCGACAGAUGCCCACUGCUGCAAAGUACCGUUCAGCAUCUCCCAAAGGGUGAUCCAUCAGAAGGGACGUGCUGCUAAUCAGCAUGAAACCGACACACGUCACAUCCCCACAGAGCACAACACAGUGCAGAACAGCUCCGCAGAGAAAUGCUUUCUGGGGAGGGGACCUGGACACGCAGCUCUUCCCUUAGGCCUAUAGGUCCACCUCAGCCUUUCUCUCAUACUUACCCCAUUGGUGCUGAGAUCCAUAAAUGUUUUCUCUUUUGCUCCCUAAUCGCCACACAAACGUCCCAUUUUUAAGUGAAAAAAGAUAGAAGCAAUCUUUUAUAUCCUCUAUAGCUGAAGCUGGAGUGCUCCUUUACCAGGAAAUGGUUUCUUGUUAUCAGAAGAUGACAUCAUUAUUUUACAGUAAAAGCCUCAGCCCUA